GAUGAACGCUGGCUACAGGCUUAACACAUGCAAGUCGAGGGGAAACGACGGGGAAGCUUGCUUCCCCGGGCGUCGACUGGCGCACGGGUGAGUAACGCGUAUCCAACCUGCCUCUGACUGAGGGAUAACCCGUCGAAAGUCGGCCUAAUACCUCAUGGUAUCGUCUGCGGGCAUCCAACGACGAUUAAAGAUUUCAUCGGUCAGGGAUGGGGAUGCGUCUGAUUAGCUUGUUGGCGGGGUAACGGCCCACCAAGGCUACGAUCAGUAGGGGUUCUGAGAGGAAGGUCCCCCACAUUGGAACUGAGACACGGUCCAAACUCCUACGGGAGGCAGCAGUGAGGAAUAUUGGUCAAUGGGCGAGAGCCUGAACCAGCCAAGUAGCGUGCAGGAAGACGGCCCUAUGGGUUGUAAACUGCUUUUAUGCGGGGAUAAAGUGAGGGACGUGUCCCUCAUUGCAGGUACCGCAUGAAUAAGGACCGGCUAAUUCCGUGC
rnacentral:rRNA from 1 species